UGAAGAGUUUGAUCCUGGCUCAGGAUGAACGCUAGCUACAGGCUUAACACAUGCAAGUCGAGGGGAAACGGCAUUAUGUGCUUGCACAUUUUGGACGUCGACCGGCGCACGGGUGAGUAACGCGUAUCCAACCUUCCCAUUACUGUGGGAUAACCUGCCGAAAGGCAGACUAAUACCGCAUAGUCUUCGAUGACGGCAUCAGAUUUGAAGUAAAGAUUUAUCGGUAAUGGAUGGGGAUGCGUCUGAUUAGCUUGUUGGCGGGGUAACGGCCCACCAAGGCAACGAUCAGUAGGGGUUCUGAGAGGAAGGUCCCCCACACUGGAACUGAGACACGGUCCAGACUCCUACGGGAGGCAGCAGUGAGGAAUAUUGGUCAAUGGGCGAGAGCCUGAACCAGCCAAGUAGCGUGCAGGAUGACGGCCCUAUGGGUUGUAAACUGCUUUUGUAUGGGGAUAAAGUCAAUCACGUGUGAUUGUUUGCAGGUACCAUACGAAUAAGGACCGGCUAAUUCCGUGCCAGCAGCCGCGGUAAUACGGAAGGUCCAGGCGUUAUCCGGAUUUAUUGGGUUUAAAGGGAGCGUAGGCGGAUUGUUAAGUCAGCGGUUAAAGGGUGUGGCUCAACCAUGCAUUGCCGUUGAAACUGGCGAUCUUGAGUGCAGACAGGGAUGCCGGAAUUCGUGGUGUAGCGGUGAAAUGCUUAGAUAUCACGAAGAACUCCGAUCGCGAAGGCAGGUGUCCGGGCUGCAACUGACGCUGAGGCUCGAAAGUGUGGGUAUCAAACAGGAUUAGAUACCCUGGUAGUCCACGCGGUAAACGAUGGAUGCUCGUUGUCGGCCUUUAUGGUCGGUGACCAAGCGAAAGCGUUAAGCAUCCCACCUGGGGAGUACGCCGGCAACGGUGAAACUCAAAGGAAUUGACGGGGGCCCGCACAAGCGGAGGAACAUGUGGUUUAAUUCGAUGAUACGCGAGGAACCUUACCCGGGCUUGAAUUGCAGAGGAAGGAUUUAGAGAUAAUGACGCCCUUCGGGGUCUCUGUGAAGGUGCUGCAUGGUUGUCGUCAGCUCGUGCCGUGAGGUGUCGGCUUAAGUGCCAUAACGAGCGCAACCCCUCUCUUCAGUUGCCAUCAGGUAAUGCUGGGCACUCUGGGAACACUGCCACCGCAAGGUGUGAGGAAGGUGGGGAUGACGUCAAAUCAGCACGGCCCUUACGUCCGGGGCUACACACGUGUUACAAUGGCCGGUACAGAGGGAUGGUGUAAUGCAAAUUGCAUCAAAUCUUGAAAGCCGGUCCCAGUUCGGACUGGGGUCUGCAAC
rnacentral:rRNA from 1 species